rnacentral:rRNA from 1 species
AACGUAGGUGGCGGAGCGUUAUCCGGAUUCAUUGGGCGUAAAGAGCUUGUAGGCGGCGUCAUAAGUUGGACGUGAAAACUCCGGGCUUAACUUGGAGAGGCCGUUCAAUACUGUGAGGCUAGAGGGUGUCAGAGGGAAGUAGAAUUCCUGGUGUAGCAGUGAAAUGCGUAGAUAUCGAGAGGAACACCAGUGGCGAAAGGCG